AUGGGAUGUAGCAAAAUUGAGAUCAAUUCGAAUAGCAUGAAAGUUGUUGAAGCUCUGAAUGAUGGUAGUUCAUCAUCGGUGGCCAGUGCUAUUUUUUAUGACUGUUUUUUUAUGUCUCUUGAUUUCAAUCAUGUAACCUAUGCUCAUUGCAAUAGGGAAAGUAAUCAAGUAGCUCAUGAACUGGCUAGGAUAGCUAGAUUUUCACCUCCUUCUGUUUGGAUGGAUUCAACACCGGAUGAGGUGAUUUCCAUGCUUGUAAACGAUGCAACUUUGAUAGCGAGUGAAUAA
rnacentral:rRNA from 1 species